GCGCCCGUAGCUCAGAUGGACAGAGCACCUGACUUCUAAUCGGGGGGUCGCUGGUUCGAAGCCAGCCGGGCGCACCA
rnacentral:tRNA from 1 species